AUUGAACGCUGGCGGCAGGCCUAACACAUGCAAGUCGAGCGGAUGAAGGUAGCUUGCUCCUGGAUUCAGCGGCGGACGGGUGAGUAAUGCCUAGGAAUCUGCCUGGUAGUGGGGGAUAACGUCCGGAAACGGGCGCUAAUACCGCAUACGUCCUGAGGGAGAAAGUGGGGGAUCUUCGGACCUCACGCUAUCAGAUGAGCCUAGGUCGGAUUAGCUAGUUGGUGGGGUAAAGGCCUACCACGGCGACGAUCCGUAACUGGUCUGAGAGGAUGAUCAGUCACACUGGAACUGAGAAACGGUCCAGACUCCUACGGGAGGCAGCAGUGGGGAAUAUUGGACAAUGGGCGAAAGCCUGAUCAAGCCAUGCCGCGUGUGUGAAGAAGGUCUUCGGAUUGUAAAGCACUUUAAGUUGGGAGGAAGGGCAGUAAGUUAAUACCUUGCUGUUUUGACGUUACCAACAGAAUAAGCACCGGCUAACUUCGUG
rnacentral:rRNA from 1 species